UUGGUUAGUGUGGAGGAAGCUAAGAAGAGGAUGUAUGCAUUAAGCACCACAACUUAUCAAGGAUUUCAAGCCGUAAUGACUGAGGAAAUGUCUGAAAAAUUUCAUGGUUUGCCUGGUGUUUUCUUUGUUUUGCCUGAUUCAUACAUUGAUCCUGUGAAUAAGGAAUAUGGAGGCGACAAGUAUGAAAAUGGGGUAAUUACUCCCAGGCCACCACCCC